AAUGAACGCUGGCGGCAGGCCUAACACAUGCAAGUCGAGCGGAUGAAGGGAGCUUGCUCCUGGAUUCAGCGGCGGACGGGUGAGUAAUGCCUAGGAAUCUGCCUGGUAGUGGGGGAUAACGUCCGGAAACGGGCGCUAAUACCGCAUACGUCCUGAGGGAGAAAGUGGGGGAUCUUCGGACCUCACGCUAUCAGAUGAGCCUAGGUCGGAUUAGCUAGUUGGUGGGGUAAAGGCUUACCAAGCCGACGAUCCGUAACUGGACUGAGAGGAUGAUCAGUCACCCGGGAAGUGGAACGGGGUCAAGGGUACUGAGGGAGGGAGCAGUGGGGAAUGGGGGGCAGUAGGCGGGAGCAUGAUCCAGCCGUGCCGAGUGUGAGGAGGAGAUGUUCGGAUUGUGAAGAAGGUUAUGUGGGGGGGAAGGGCAGUAAGUUGAGACGAAGCGGUAGUGACGGUACCAGCAGAAGAAGCACCGGCUAACUACGUG
rnacentral:rRNA from 1 species